UGACAGAGAGAGGGAGGGGGUGACUAGUGACAGAGUGAGGGAGGGAAGGGGUGACUAGUGACAGAGUGAGGGAGGUUGUGAUUAGUGACAGAGGGAGGGAUGGGGUGACUAAUGACAGUCACCACCUCCUUCACUCUGUCACUAGUCACCCCCUCCCUCACUCUGUCAUUGUGUCACCCCCUCUCUCACUCUGUCACUAGUCAUCCCCUUCCUUACUGUCACUAGUUACCCCCUCCCUCUCUCUGUCACUA